GACAGAGGGUGCAAACGUUGUUCGGAAUACUGGGCGUAAAGCGCGUGUAGGCGGCCAUCUAAGUCGGGCGUGAAAUCCCACGGCUCAACCGUGGAAGUGCACUCGAAACUGGAAUGGCUAGAGUCCUGGAGAGGAAGGUGGAAUGCUUGGUGUAGAGGUGAAAUUCGUAGAUAUCAAGCGGAACACCGGUGGCGAAGGCGGC
rnacentral:rRNA from 1 species